CCUCCAGAACCUGCACGGUGGCGUCCCGCACUUGCUGACGUAGACUGACGCCUGACACAAACAAAGGGAAUGACGAAAGAGCACAACAUUUGCUGCCAUUUUCCCAUUACUCUAGGAACAUCACUGACAUAGAAUGGUGGUCACGCUUACCAAUUUCCACCUUUUGUGUUCAGGUCUGUGUAAACGGCACUGAUGUGCAACAUCAACCUGAUAACUUUCCGCCUUUGAAAGUUCGCCAAUACGUGUAAACAUUACACGCUGACAUCCUUUGGCCUGUUUUAUUGCCACUGCCCCCCCCCCCCACCCCGCAAAGGCAACUAAAUGUGCUGUUAUGGCAUUGCUGCCUGAAAGCAGGAGAUUGUCUCAGUUAGCAAGCAUUACCUUGGCUCUUGGGAAGCCAGUAAUAAAUGGUGGCAAGGCUGAGAACGCUUUUGAGGACAGAGUCGGCCAGCUGCUCUCCAUCCUGCGGUCAGAAAACAACCCC